GCUACAUGUGGCGCCCAAUGUGGGACCUGAAAAUGGGAGACCCGCUGAGAAGCACUGUCUUGGGUGGAGCUCCACAGAAAACAGAAAAAGUAGCAGUAUCCUGCACAGCGGCUUGGGGAGAUGAUCUUCUUUCUUGUCGGUUCUUCUUGAGGCAGCGGAGGGGGAAGAGCAUCAGUGGAGGGAGCCAAAUUUGAGUGAUCUUGGCCUGGGAGCGCAGUAUUUGGGGCUGCCCCAAAUACUGUGUCCCAACAUGGAAAUGGGUACAUGAAAUGUUUAUAGUUACAAAACAAAAGAAAGUAAUAAGUCAAGGCCCCUUUCAGAUGCAUUCGUGGAAAUAUCAGGUAAGUGAAUCAGAGCAGAGCUGGGAAAUCUCUGCUCCAGGUCUCAGAUGCUGCAAUCCGAUGACAUUCUUAGCUUUUGGGUUGGU